UUAAGCGACUAAGCGUACACGGUGGAUGCCCUGGCAGUCAGAGGCGAUGAAGGACGUGCUAAUCUGCGAAAAGCGUCGGUAAGGUGAUAUGAACCGUUAUAGCCGGCGAUGUCCGAAUGGGGAAACCCAGUGCAAUUCGUUGCACUAUCGUUUGAUGAAUACAUAGUCAAACGAGGCGAACCGGGGGAACUGAAACAUCUAAGUACCCCGAGGAAAAGAAAUCAACCGAGAUUCCCCCAGUAGCGGCGAGCGAACGGGGAGCAGCCCGGAGUCUGAAUCAGCUUGUGUGUUAGUGGAAGCGUCUGGAAAGUCGCAGGGUACAGGGUGAUACUCCCGUACACUAAAACACACAGGCUGUGAACUCGAAGAGUAGGGCGGGACACGUGGUAUCCUGUCUGAAUAUGGGGGGACCAUCCUCCAAGGCUAAAUACUCCUGACUGACCGAUAGUGAACCAGUACCGUGAGGGAAAGGCGAAAAGAACCCCGGCGAGGGGAGUGAAAAAGAACCUGAAACCGUGUACGUACAAGCAGUAGGAGCCCCACCACCAAAGCGUUUCGCUUUGCGUGGUGCGCAAAAUGCGUAACGACAGCAUGAUGGACGGUUAACGGAGCGUCAGCGACGUUCAACCUCAAAAAUCAGGCAGUGGAGCGUUUUGGGGUGGGGUGACUGCGUACCUUUUGUAUAAUGGGUCAGCGACUUAUAUUCUGUAGCAAGGUUAACCGUAUAGGGGAGCCGCAGGGAAACCGAGUCUUAACUGGGCGUUAAGUUGCAGGGUAUAGACCCGAAACCCGGUGAUCUAGCCAUGGGCAGGUUGAAGGUUGGGUAACACUAACUGGAGGACCGAACCGACUAAUGUUGAAAAAUUAGCGGAUGACUUGUGGCUGGGGGUGAAAGGCCAAUCAAACCGGGAGAUAGCUGGUUCUCCCCGAAAGCUAUUUAGGUAGCGCCUCGUGAACUCAUCUUCGGGGGUAGAGCACUGUUUCGGCUAGGGGGUCAUCCCGACUUACCAACCCGAUGCAAACUACGAAUACCGAAGAAUGUUAUCACGGGAGACACACGGCGGGUGCUAACGUCCGUCGUGAAGAGGGAAACAACCCAGACCGCCAGCUAAGGUCCCAAAGUCAUGGUUAAGUGGGAAACGAUGUGGGAAGGCCCAGACAGCCAGGAUGUUGGCUUAGAAGCAGCCAUCAUUUAAAGAAAGCGUAAUAGCUCACUGGUCGAGUCGGCCUGCGCGGAAGAUGUAACGGGGCUAAACCAUGCACCGAAGCUGCGGCAGCGACACUAUGUGUUGUUGGGUAGGGGAGCGUUCUGUAAGCCGUUGAAGGUGGCCUGUGAGGGUUGCUGGAGGUAUCAGAAGUGCGAAUGCUGACAUAAGUAACGAUAAUGCGGGUGAAAAACCCGCACGCCGGAAGACCAAGGGUUCCUGUCCAACGUUAAUCGGGGCAGGGUGAGUCGACCCCUAAGGCGAGGCCGAAAGGCGUAGUCGAUGGGAAACAGGUUAAUAUUCCUGUACUUGGUGUUGCUGCGAAGGGGGGACGGAGAAGGCUAUGUUGGCCGGGCGACGGUUGUCCCGGUUUAAGCAUGUAGGCGGAUGUUCCAGGUAAAUCCGGAACGUUACUAACGCUGAGGUGUGAUGACGAGGCACUACGGUGCUGAAGUGACAAAUGCCCUGCUUCCAGGAAAAGCCUCUAAGCAUCAGGUAACAUCAAAUCGUACCCCAAACCGACACAGGUGGUCAGGUAGAGAAUACCAAGGCGCUUGAGAGAACUCGGGUGAAGGAACUAGGCAAAAUGGUGCCGUAACUUCGGGAGAAGGCACGCUGAUGGUAGGUGAAGCGACUUGCUCGUGGAGCUGAAAUCAGUCGAAGAUACCAGCUGGCUGCAACUGUUUAUUAAAAACACAGCACUGUGCAAACACGAAAGUGGACGUAUACGGUGUGACGCCUGCCCGGUGCCGGAAGGUUAAUUGAUGGGGUUAUCCGUAAGGAGAAGCUCUUGAUCGAAGCCCCGGUAAACGGCGGCCGUAACUAUAACGGUCCUAAGGUAGCGAAAUUCCUUGUCGGGUAAGUUCCGACCUGCACGAAUGGCGUAAUGAUGGCCAGGCUGUCUCCACCCGAGACUCAGUGAAAUUGAACUCGCUGUGAAGAUGCAGUGUACCCGCGGCAAGACGGAAAGACCCCGUGAACCUUUACUAUAGCUUGACACUGAACACUGGUCCUUGAUGUGUAGGAUAGGUGGGAGGCUUUGAAGUGUGGACGCCAGUCUGCAUGGAGCCGUCCUUGAAAUACCACCCUUUAAUGGCUGGUGUUCUAACGUGGGCCCGUGAUCCGGGUUGCGGACAGUGUCUGGUGGGUAGUUUGACUGGGGCGGUCUCCUCCUAAAGAGUAACGGAGGAGCACGAAGGUCAGCUAAUCCUGGUCGGACAUCAGGAGGUUAGUGCAAUGGCAUAAGCUGGCUUGACUGCGAGCGUGACGGCGCGAGCAGGUGCGAAAGCAGGUCAUAGUGAUCCGGUGGUUCUGAAUGGAAGGGCCAUCGCUCAACGGAUAAAAGGUACUCCGGGGAUAACAGGCUGAUACCGCCCAAGAGUUCAUAUCGACGGCGGUGUUUGGCACCUCGAUGUCGGCUCAUCACAUCCUGGGGCUGAAGUAGGUCCCAAGGGUAUGGCUGUUCGCCAUUUAAAGUGGUACGCGAGCUGGGUUUAGAACGUCGUGAGACAGUUCGGUCCCUAUCUGCCGUGGGCGCUGGAGAAUUGAGGGGGGCUGCUCCUAGUACGAGAGGACCGGAGUGGACGCAUCACUGGUGUUCGGGUUGUCAUGCCAAUGGCAUUGCCCGGUAGCUAAAUGCGGAAGAGAUAAGUGCUGAAAGCAUCUAAGCACGAAACUUGCCCCGAGAUGAGUUCUCCCUGACUCCUUGAGAGUCCUGAAGGAACGUUGAAGACGACGACGUUGAUAGGCCGGGUGUGUAAGCGCAGCGAUGCGUUGAGCUAACCGGUACUAAUGAACCGUGAGGCUUAACCUU
rnacentral:rRNA from 2 species